GGGGAUUUAGCUCAGCGGCAUAAGCGCCUGCCUUGCAAGCAGGCAGUCGUGAGUUCGAUCUCCAGUACCGA
rnacentral:tRNA from 1 species